rnacentral:rRNA from 1 species
GAUGAACGCUGGCGGCGUGCCUAAUACAUGCAAGUCGAGCGGAGCGGGGACGGGUGAGUACCAGGUGGAUAACCUCCUAUAAGACUGGGGUCACUUCGGGGAACCGGAUCUCAACCGGAUCCUUAUUCAUAGAUCCGCGCUGCAUUAGCUAGUUGGUAGGGUAACGGCUUACCAAGGCAACGAUGCAUAGCCGACCUGAGAGGGUGAGCGGCCACACUGGAACUGAGACACGGUCCAGACUCCUACGGGAGGCAGCAGUAGGGAAUCUUCCGCAAUGGGCGAAAGCCUGACGGAGCAACGCCGCGUGAGUGAUGAAGGUCUUCGGAUCGUAAAACUCUUUUAGUAGGGAAGCGGUACCUAAUCAGAAAGCACCGGCUAACUACGUGCCAGCAGCCGCGGUAAUUC